GUGCUCACUUUGGCAGUACAUAUACUAAAAUUGGAACAAUACAGAGAUGAUUAGCACGGCCAGUGUGCAGGGAUGGCACACAAAUUCAUGAAGCAUUCCAUGUUUUU